AUUUGAUUCUCCAAAGUUCAGCAUCUUUAUUUUGUGAUUUAAAUUUGUCAAGUUAUGCCUCUGAGGGGUCCUGUCAUUCUCCCAGCGAAUAAAAAUGUGGAUGCUUGGGGAAGUGGAGGUGGAUGGUGAAUGGGAAUACUCUUGUUUGAAUUUUUAAAAAUUUACAUUGUAAAUAACAUUAAAUACCAUUUGUUGUGCCCAUGAUAACUUCAUCCAAAAUAUAUAUAUAUUGGUCUGCUAAGAUAUGCCAUAACCAAAUAACAGGCUUGGUGCCUUAAACAACAGAAAUUUUUCUUCUGGUUCUGGAAGCUGGAAGUCUAAGAUCAAGCUGUUGGUGGAUUUGAUUUCCCCUGAGGCCUCUCUCCUUGGCCUGCAGACCACCACCUUCUCUCUGUGUCCUCACCUAGCCUUUUCUCUGUGUCCUCACCUAGCCUUUUCUGUGUGCUGCAUCCCUGGCCUCUCUUCCAGUUCUUAUAAGGACCCCAGUCACAUUGGAUUUGAGCCCCGUCCUUAUGAACUCACUUAACCUUAAUUACCUCUUUAAGGGCCCUGUCUCCAAACGCAGUCACUUUAGGGGCUUAGGGCUUCAAUUUAUGAAUCUGGGGGACAAUUUAGUAAAAAAUAGUAUGUGACAGCCCAGUUUAUAUACCUCCUUUCCAGAAACAAGAGUGUGGUUGUUAACGUCUUCUCUUUAGCCUCAAGAUACAGUGCAAAUAUCUGUAGUUCUGUUCUUACAUAAGCUUUAUUUUACUUUUUCUAAAAACUAUAUUGAAAGUAUAGCAAUCCCAGUUAGAAAUUGCUUAUAAUGCAUUCAUCUAAUCAGCUCAGUGUUCUUACUGAACAAACUUUUAUUUCCAUGUUUACUCCUGUUUAUUUCAUCAGUUUCACCUGACAUUAUACCAUGAAUAUGUUUCUGUUUUGCUAGUGUUUUUAUUCUUACUGAUCACAUGUCCCUUUUUCAUCUUCCAUAGCACUCCCAGCCUAGAGUUAACAACCGCUAACCACCGUAGCCACAUACUUUUCCAUGUUUGGAUAACCUUAUGCAGCAUAUACACCUAAAGGGUGGUGGUUUUUUUAGGGGGUGGUGGUGGAAGCGGAGAGAGGGUCAUUGUUUUUACAAAAAUUUAAUUUCAUCUAUUUUACACAUCCUUUCCCAUGUCUUCCCCUUGUACUUUCCAACCUUCAGUUUCUUCUUUUUCUAAUUAGCUUUGUCGGAGUGACUUAAAAUACAAUAAAAUGAAAUAACAUAGCAGUGAUAAUAAUAGAAUUAAAAUAAAAGAGGCAUGAUUGGAGAAACUGCACACAUGCACACCAAAAUUUCAAAUAUCCUUAUUCCUUCUGUGUACAGUUCUCAGUGGGUAGUUCAGACCUUCAUUCCCAUCCUCAGCCUCUCCUAUGCAAUGCCAGCUUCUGUAACGCUGGAUGAUCUUUUCUUUGCCUAACCGAGAAAACUGGAGAUGUUAGGUAUGAUCCUCUUUUCAACUUUUGUGCCUCCUAUCUAUAAAUUUAAUUAGUUGUUAACCAGCUUGUAAUAAAGGGGUAAACAUUGAUAACCCAAAUUAUUUAGAAAAUAGAAAUAGAAUCAGAAUGUACUAUAAAAUGAGCUUACAAAUUUCAACAUGUGUCCACUAUUUUGGGGGAGUGUUUGCUCUUCUCCAGAAGUAAUCCAGAAAGCUCACUUUUCCCCCCUAGACUAUCUCAUACAACAUGUUUGCCCUGUAGCAAACAGCUCUCUUAUUUUUUCAGUAAUGUAGAGCUAAACCAGUAUUCUUUUGUUGUUUUCAUUUUGUGGAGUUUUUGUGUGUAUUUUUAGUUUUUUGAGACAGGGUCUCGCUCUGUUGCCCAGGCUGGAGUGCAGUGGUGCAGUCUCCUCUCAUUGCAACCGCCAACUCUCUGGCUCAAACAAUCCGCCCACUUCAGCCUCUGAAGUAGGUGGGACUACAUGUGCAAGCUGUGCUUGGCUAAUUUUUUAUUUUUUUGUAGAGAUGAGGUCUCACUAUAUUGUCCAGGCUAGUCUCAAACUUCUGGACUCAAGUGAUCCUUCCACCUCCGCCUCCCAUGCCUCUGCGAUUACAGGUGCAAGCUACUGCACCUGACCUAGACCCAUAUUCCUAACCUAGUUCAUCAAAAGCUUAUGAGGAACUUUUUUUUCUUUAAAGUGUCCAGAUGUUAUCUCUCAUGUGUAUUACAGGGCUUUAAAUGUGAGUACUGGAGUUUAGAUGGUUGCUUUUCCAAUUUUAAUUUAGGAUUUGCCUGUCUCCCUACUAUGAGACUGUGAUUGAGCCUAGCUAAAGUAGGGCGGAGGAAUUUGCUUUUUACAGUACUGUAUGUCACAUGAAAGGGCAGGGGUCUUCAGAUUGCUGAUGUUCCCUCAGCCAUAGACCAUGCCCACUUUUGACAUGUGCUCUAGCCAAAGCUGCAUGAAAAUAUUUUUCAGUCCCUACUGGAUUUUUCUCUUAUGAAUGGUUAACAGUGCAGGUUCUGGAACCAAACUUCCUGGAUUCAGAUUCUGGCUCUGCUGUUUAUUCGCUGUGUGUUGACCUUGAAUGAGUGAGUUAACUUUUCCGUGCCUCAGACUCUUCAUCUAUAAAAUGGGCAUUAUGACAUAAUGCACCUUAGAGGAUUUUUUAAAAGAUUAAAUGGGUUUCCAGAUAUAAAAUGUUUGGAAACUAUGUGCCGCAUUAAGUAUUCAAUAAUUGUCAGCCCUUUUUAUAGUUUGUCGGUAUUGUUUACUCCUGUUCUGGUUUUGAGGAUCUUUGGCUUCCAUCUUCUACCUGCAUUCCUAGUGUUUUUUGUUUUUGUUUUUUUUUCCCUUCCUACUUAAGGUUGUGCUCAAGGUUUGGUACUUGGCCACUUCCUCAUGCUUUUCGCUUUUUCUGGUUGUGUCUAUUAGUUUGUCUUCUUAUUAUGCCUCCAUGAUUCACAAGUCAUUGUUUUCUAAUCAUACCCAUGUGAGUUCUAAACCAAUACAUAUUUGCAGUUGUCUUUUCAGCACAUAUACCUGGAUGUUUCACAGACACUUUCGACUUGGCACAUCUGAAUUCAUCACUUUUUCCCAAAUCUGAUUGUCUCAUACUCCCUUGAUGAAAUGAUGUGAGAAUCCCAAAAUUAAUUAUUCUCAAUUCUCCUUUUACCUCCCGUUGAUUACCAAGUGUCAACACGUCAGAUUUUUUAAUACUCCUUAGUACUAUGGCCGAUGAGGUCCGCCAUCUCUGAGUUUGACUGUUAGAUUUGUCCCUGAGUAGCACUGUCUUUGAUCUUGCCCCUGAAAUUCAUCUUCACACUGUUGAAAGAAUAAUCUUUUAAAGUGGUUUAUUUUACAUGUCUGUCUUCCACUGCUGGACUGAGCUCUUACAGGAGAUUGUAUCUCUUGUUUGUGUAAUCCUAGCACCUGUUAAAAUAACUAGCAACUUAGUGGUGCAGUCUUGCAGAUUCUCUGACCCUCCAGUCACCCUAGACCUGCACUGAUACAGUUUUCGUUAGCCAUUUAAAUUUAAAUAAAAUUAAACAUUCUGUUAAUUAGUAAUACUAGCUAUAUUUCAAAUGCUCGUAGCCACAUGUGACUGUUGACUACUAUAUUGGACAACAUUUUAGAACAUUUCAAUUAUCAUAGGAAGUUUCAUUGGACAGAGCUGCCCCAGCAGACCUUUGCUGAUACGGAUGUCUUUCUGUAUUAACAUCCUUUUAACAUUCAGACACCUCCCAAAUGUUAACCUUAAUAGAUUGGCCUUCAGCAUUUAUGUCUCUCUAUCUUGAUCCUGCAAUUGAUGACUUUACUACGUCGGCUCUGCAGAGAGCACCAUUACCAGCAUGUGUCCAAUCAGGAAAGCCGACACCACAUAUUUCAACAGAGGAGAUGUGAGUACAGAGGCAUUAGAGAGUAACCCAGGGAUCACAACUGUAGGAUGCAGCUACUAGUCCUAAGGGUAAGAAAACAAAUGGGAAAAAAUUGGGGUUGCCAGCCUUAAAGCUCCAAAAAGGGUCCUCAUGGCAUUAGUGCUCAGACCCCUGAGGAGGCUCACCACCUACCUGCUCAUGGUAAUGCUGAGGGGUAAAGUAACGACAGUUCUAGAAGUUUCGAAGUCGUUGAAGGCUGGCAUUCGCUGCCGUUAUUACAAAGCUGAUAGGACUAGCCAUCAGAGAUGAACUAGAUCUUGUUUCAUCUUCCUUCCAACUUCCCUGUAGUACUUCCUACUGGCAGAACCUAAUAAGCAGCAGUCAGAGGGGUCAGAGAAGUGUAGUUUGCAGAGUCCCGGCCCCAGCACACACAGCAGAGGACAGAAGGGUGGAAUUGGAGCUGAGAAACAAUAGAUGAAGAACCAGCACACGGGUUUCCUUCAAAGACUCAUUUUUAUCUACAGGUAUUAGUCCCUAAAACGCCAGAUACUCAGGAGUUUGUAGAGACACUCAGGGCCCUCAAGAAUAAGUGUACUAGCUCAAAUUGAAAUCUUGUUACUCUUUUCUAUUAAAUGAGACCGUAAUGCUGCUAUAUAGUGCCUAACUUUUAAAAUUGACAGUGGAUGAAUCUGCAUAUUAUAAUCAGGUGUUCAUGUCCAUCCAUUCAUUUAUUGAGUGCCUACCACAUGCCACACAGUCUGUCAGGUGGUAUGUAUAUAAAAUAAAACUUAGAUAAUAAGACAAAAGUAAUAAUUCACCCAAAUUCAUCUAUAAAUCCAGAGUUAGGGACUGUUAACAUUUUUGUGUUCGUGCCUGUGGACAUCUUUCUGUGCGUAUGCAUGUACACACAUAACUAUCAAAAUAUCAUAAAGUUUAUAAAUGCAGAUGUUUCCAAGAAAGUGUAUAUUCAUCUACCACUCUUCUGCUCUAUAGUAUUUGAUUAUACGGAGAAUGCUCCAUUAGUAUUUAUCUGUGGACAUAGAGCAUAGGCUGCUACAUAUGUCUCUAUAUACUUUAUGCACUUUGUCUUUCCACUAAAAUUUCUCAAUGUAUAAUUUCUGUCUGGGUCACUGAAUAUGUAGACUUAAAAUUUUGAGCUACGUUUUUCAAACUGCCCUUCACCAAAGCUGUUACAGUUUACACUGCCACCGAUAGUACAUGAGACUGUUCUUUCAUACAUUCAAUAACAGAAUAUUACUGACCUUUAAUUUUUUUAUUGCUAGCUAAAAGUGUAUUCUCAUUUUGAAAUUUUUAGUGAGAGCAUAUUCCAAUAUGUUAAUUGGCUAUUUGUAUUUCUUGUAUUGUUAACUACCUGUUUACAUCCUUUACACUUUUUCUUUUGGGUGUUUAUGUCUGUAACUUGGCAGUAGCUCACAUUAGGAAUCAUUACUACACACGUUGCAAAUACUUUUACAAUUAAUUUCUUUAUUCUUGCAUUAUAACCAUUCUUACGUAGUGGUGCUCUACUAUUUCUGCCUUAGGUAUAAUGUUUAGAAUUUUCUCUGGUCAGGGUUAUAAAAAUACUCGUGUUUCUCCUGAUAUUUUUAUGAUUUCAUUUUUAGAUCAGUUUUUAAUGCAGUUGACAGUUACAUUAAAGUAGUGAAAUAAAGAGUCAACAUUUUCUGUCAGUAUUAUCUGGUUGUCAUAAUACCAUUUAUAAAAUAAUUCCUGCUCUUCCUCAUUGAUCUAAAAUGUAACUUCCACUAGAUAAUCAUUUUUAUGUUUGAUAUUUACAAAUACGAUUCAGUUCUAUUUUCUCUAUUCAGCUAUUUUCACUGAUUUGAUUAUUGUUGCUUCUUGUUUGAAUAUAUAUUUAAAAUAUUUGUUUUGUAACUAAUACAAGGUUUCAUACCUAAUAAGUCAAGUAUUACUUCCCAACACAUACACCCUUAUCUCUUUCAUAAUUCCAUACUGUUUUACAGAUAAAGUGUAGAAUUAUUUAAUCUUCCUUCAAAUACAGAUUCUAUUGGUAUUCUGAUUAUAAUACAGGAUACAUAGAUACAUACGACAUUGCAUGGUUCACAUAGAGAAAUUGUGGCACAUUUUCAGUAUUAAUAUUCUUAUUCCUAAAGAGUAGUGUUUGUCCUAUUAGGUUCAUAUGUCCCUCAGUAGAGUUUUUAGAUUAUUUUUAUUUUUCUUUAGUCAGGUAUCUUAAUGUGUUUUAAUGUUCUUGUAUUUAUGAAUGUGCUCCUUUUUUCUCCCUCUUUACAAAAAUGUUUUCUAAUUGAAUAUUUUCAUUUUUUUAAUCUCAGAACGUCUUCACACAAAUUAGUAAGGGCCUCAAAGAACUUUUAUGUUGGCAGAUGCUGAUUGAUCGAAUCUCGGCUUGUGGAGGACCAACCUCUUCCAUACACUUACCCAAAUAAUUUACUGUGAUUAGGUUUCUUAGGUAUGCCGAUGCAAAAACAGAACGAAAUUCAUCUUGCAAGCAACUGUCUCUCAUCAUAGGUUAGUAAAUGAGUGUUUUGUUUAAUAAACACAUCUAUUAAUUUUAUUAAUCCAAACUAGUUCACCUAAUAGUACUCAAAAUAGCAAAGAUAAAUGGUUAAGCUAGAGGCUUCCCUAACAUGAAAAUUGACUAAUAAUUUUGUUAAAUAUCUCUGUGCUGUCACCAGUGUGUAUAUAUUGGCCAUUCUUUUGUUCACUUUAUUGAUAUUUUUUCCUUGCAGUUGAAAAAAGGAUAGUUAUACUUAGAUAACUUGAUUGCUGUCUUCUAAAUUCCCAGUAGGUGGUGUCAUAAUACUGUAUUUAGGGAAUUUUUUUUAUUUAUUUAAUAAAGUGAAAAAAGAAAGUGCAAA